rnacentral:rRNA from 1 species
CGCACUCUUCGGAGUGAGCGGCGGACGGGUUAGUAACGCGUGGGAACAUACCCUUCUCUACGGAAUAGCCUCGGGAAACUGAGAGUAAUACCGUAUACGCCCUUCGGGGGAAAGAUUUAUCGGAGAUGGAUUGGCCCGCGUUAGAUUAGAUAGUUGGUGGGGUAAUGGCCUACCAAGUCUACGAUCUAUGGCUGGUUUGAGAGGAUGAUCAGCAACACUGGGACUGAGACACGGCCCAG